rnacentral:tRNA from 1 species
GCAGGACGGCUCAUCUGGGGAUGGGACCGGUUUUACAUGCCGGCCGUGAAGAGUUCGAUUCUCUUGUCCUGUA